rnacentral:rRNA from 1 species
UACGAAGGGGGCUAGCGUUGCUCGGAAUUACUGGGCGUAAAGGGAGCGUAGGCGGACAUUUAAGUCAGGGGUGAAAUCCCAGAGCUCAACUCUGGAACUGCCUUUGAUACUGGGUGUCUUGAGUGUGAUAGAGGUAUGUGGAACUCCGAGUGUAGAGGUGAAAUUCGUAGAUAUUCGGAAGAACACCAGUGGCGAAGGCGACAUACUGGAUCAUUACUGACGCUGAGGCUCGAAAGCGUGGGGAGCAAACAG